UCUGUUUGCGUUCCAGCUGGGGACUCUUCUGAUGGGAACCACCUGUUCCUGGUCUUUGCGCGCUUUGGAUUUCCCCAGUCCUUCAGUCCUUUCAGUUUUGAAAUGAAACCUGCUCUCCUGGCUAAGGUCAGGUCCAAGAGGACUUUGACAGUUCACACCGACUUGUUUUUUCUUAGAGCCAGCUGGUACCAUCUUUAUGAUACUAAUCUCUGGACACGUGCAGAUGGCACAGGAGGUGCACGCUUCGGUCCAUUCUGAGCUCCCCGCACUGCCCUGGUGUCUCAGUACAGUUGCCUGAGUUCUCCAUACUCGAGGCAUCCCCCCUCCCCCCGCCAGGCACGUGAAGGUAUGGGACAGCUUUUUCUUGCUUCAAGAUGCAGCUUGGGGGUAGGACAAAUCUUGCUUAGAUUCUACAGUGGAAGGGGGGGGACCCGGAAACCCACGGGAAGUGUCUGUUCUGUGACUCCUCAGGAUUUUCCAAACUGUCUCAUGGGUGUCAUUGGUCCCUCAAAAGAAAGAGCAGUCCUCCUGGAGGACCAGGCUGCUCAGAGUCACUGGAGCAAACGAGGAGGCUGGAGGGAGUCAGAUGUCUUACCAGCAACCUGGAUUUUAGACAAGGUGGGUAGCUGUUAUCCAGCCCUGUAUAGGAAGCUCUCCACCUCUUCCUCCUGCCUGCUUGGUACUCAGUCAGGUACUUCUGCCUUGUCCUGGCUCCUGCUUGCCAGUCUGGCUUUUUUCUGGAUGUGUGCCAGUGGUGACUUUUAGUGGAAAUGAUUACUCUCUACCGGAGCAAAGCAAACUUGGGAGGUGCUGGCUCUGGCUCCCAAGUGACUGGAGCCUGUCCCCUGGCCUUGCCCUGUGUCUUCUGGCAUGGAUUCCUGGCCACCCUUUCACCCUUGGCACAUUUCCUCUAAGCCAGUAAUUCCACCUGGGUGAGGAUUACACAUCAGCUCCUUCCUAGGAACUUUGAGGUCAGGAGAAUGCGUGCCAUGGGAGCCAUUCCUAGGUAACCCCUGUCUUUCCAUGGGAACCGUGCAGUUCUCUUGCAGUCCUGUGGGUGUUUGGGGCAUGGAACAUGCUCACAAUGGGCAAGGAUUUACACUGCCUUUGUUUCUAGAGCUCUCUCACUUUUAUUUUUUUAUUUUUGAGAUAGGAGCUCACCAUGUAACCCAGGCUGGCCUAGAACUUGCUAUGUCUCUUAGGCUGAUCUGAAACUCAUAAUAUUCCACCCUUAUCCCGCCCCCCCCUCCCCCACGAGCUGGGAUUAUAGGUAUGAGUCAUCCUACCGUGUUACUACUGUAGUUGGAGGCUAGCCUGGUCUACCUAUGAGUUCCAGCCCAGCUAGAGCUACAUAUUGACAGCCAUCUCCAAAACAAACAAAAA
rnacentral:lncRNA from 1 species